UACGGGGGGGGCAAGCGUUGUUCGGAAUUACUGGGCGUAAAGGGCGCGUAGGCGGCCUUCUAAGUCGAACGUGAAAUCCCCGGGCUCAACCCGGGAACUGCGUCCGAUACUGGAAGGCUUGAAUCCGGGAGAGGGAUGUGGAAUUCCAGGUGUAGCGGUGAAAUGCGUAGAUAUCUGGAGGAAUACCGGUGGCGAAGGCGGCAUCCUGGACCGACAUUGACGCUGAACGGCGAAAGCUAGGGGAGCAAACGGG
rnacentral:rRNA from 1 species